rnacentral:rRNA from 1 species
AUUGUUAUAAGAAUUAAUUUAUAAUAAAACCUGCUCAAUGUAUAAUUAUAAAUAGCUGCAAUUUAAUUGUACUAAGGUAGCAUAAUCAUUAGCUUUUUAAUUUAAAGAUAGAAUGAAAGGUCAAACGAAAUAUAAUCUAUUUCAUUAAUUUUAAUUAAUUUAAAAUAAAAGUAAAAAUUCUCUUAUUAUAAGAAAGACGACAAGACCCUAAUAAACUUAAUAAUUUAGCUGGGGAGGCUAAAUAAUAACAACUUAAUUAUAAAAUAUACUAAACUUCAAUAAAAUACAGAUAAAGUUACUAUAGGGAUAACAGCGCAAUAUUAGAAUAAAGACCUUAUUAAAUCUAAAACUUACGACCUCGAUGUUGAAUUAAUUUAACUUUUUAACGAAAAAUUUUCAAAAGAAGGUCUGU